UACGUAGGGGGCAAGCGUUAUCCGGAUUUACUGGGUGUAAGGGAGCGUAGACGGUUAUGCAAGUCAGAAGUGAAAGCCCAAAGCUCAACUUCGGGACUGCUUUUGAAACUGUGUAACUAGAGUGCAGGAGGGGUAAGCGGAAUUCCUAGUGUAGCGGUGAAAUGCGUAGAUAUUAGGAGGAACACCGGCGGCGAAGGCGGCUUACUGGACUGUAACUGACGUUGAGGCUCGAAAGCGUGGGGAGCAAACAGG
rnacentral:rRNA from 1 species